rnacentral:lncRNA from 1 species
AAAUAUAUGUCUAGUCCAAGACUAAUAAUAUAAAUAUGAAUGAGAAAUAUAUGAACAAUUUUUUUUUUUUAAUAAAGUGAAAUAUCAAUUGUUUAGCCUUCAUCUAGGAAAAGUAUGUAUUAGAAAUUAGAACCUAAGCCGCACAUUAAGCGAGACGAGUGCUCAACACAUUUUGAGUCUUACUUCGAGGCUUAUGCAUACCUUUGACAACACUGGUGCACCCACAAACUUCAAAUCUUGGGUUCGCCUCUGUGUUCAGUGUUGCAUACAAGGAUAAAUUUAAGACAACUUUUUUUGCUCCCAUAAUGAGAUUGCAAAUAGUUGCAUCACACUUCAUAACUCAGCGGAAGACCGUUUUCGAUCUAUACUGUUGGACAAAAACAAUGUUUCCUCUCUCAAGUAGAGAGAGAUAUAAGUGAAACCACAUCUGAGCAUGAGAUGAGAAGAGGCAAACAAAAAUAAACUAACCUGCCAGUUAUCAAGAAAUUACAGUCCAUAAAGUAUAUAAGUUAAACCCCAAAAAGUAGUGGUGGAUUCAUAUAAAAGCCAUAUAAAGCUACUUGGAUUCAUGUAAAGCCAUCAAAAGAAGCCAAAUUACUUGGAUCUGUUAUAACUUAAAGAAUCUUUAGAACUAUAUAUGAGAUGUAACGUUCAGACAUCCAACAAUCUUGCAUAAAAUGGAACGGUAAAUAAAGAUCGAAGAGGGUGAGGUGGCGAUAUGGUGCUUAAAUGGUAGAGGAGGUCUGUAUUAAUGGGGGAGGAAUUCGGCCAGUGUGGAUUCUGUCCGGCGGAAUUGAGGGGUGUAUAACAAUGUAAAAGCGUGUGUGAAUAACUCUUAUUGGCUAUUAUGCAUGUUUAUACAUUUGUACACGGUAAGGUAUGUGUAAAAUGUUAUAAAGUUGGAAAUCACGUAGAAAUGAGGCUAUGCGUGUGUAAUAAAUUUAUGGGCUAUUUAAAUAUAAAUAUUUUUUAUAUUUUUCUUUUUAAUAAACACUCAACUAAACUAUGGUUGAAUACUUGAAUUUCAAAAAGGUAAAAGCAAAAAAUUAAUCCCUCAAAAACAAUAAAAAAAAUUUUUUUAUUAAUAGACGUAUAACACAUGUACAUUAAUCUAGUAAUUGUAAACGAGGAUAAGAUCAUACAUAUAUUCUUUGAUAACUUUGAUAACUUUUCAUCUAAGACAUGAUAAACAAAAAGUGGCAAGGGAGGUUACACUACCUUCUACGAGUAGAAUACACUGUUAAUACCGGAUAAAAGAUCCUCUUAUUUACGAGAAAAUAUUUGAUACAACUUUAGAUAUAACUAAUACUUCUGACUACCUUUGAGAAUGUUCCUCCAGUUUAAAACAUGCUGUCGAUGGACACUAACUAUAUAUUCAAAAUAUUCCUCACAAACUACCAACCUGUUUGCCAUAUAGCUCAUUCACGAUAGAAUUCAGUGAUCAGUUUCCAACUCAUUGAUCAUAAGAGUCUCACUGAUAAGUGUAGGCAGACAUUUUUUUGAAGAUAAUAUUUUUUCAAAUAAGAGGAAUAGUAUUGAAAAAUAUAUAGUAGAAAGUAAUAAAGAGAGAAGGGUAUA